rnacentral:rRNA from 1 species
GACGAACGCUGGCGGCGUGCUUAACACAUGCAAGUCGAGCGGAAAGGCCACUUCGGUGGUACUCGAGCGGCGAACGGUGAGUAACACGUGAGUAAUCUGCCCCUGGCUUUGGGAUAGCCACCAGAAACGGUGAUUAAUACCGGAUACGACCACUUCCCGCAUGGGAUGGUGGUGGAAAGUUUUUUCGGCCAGGGAUGUGCUCGCGGCCUAUCAGCUUGAUGGUGAGGUAAUGGCUCACCAUGGCUUCGACGGGUAGCCGGCCUGAGAGGGUGACCGGUCACACUGGGACUGAGACACGGCCCAGACUCCUACGGGAGGCAGCAGUGGGGAAUAUUGGACAAUGGGCGGAAGCCUGAUCCAGCAACGCCGCGUGAGGGAUGACGGCCUUCGGGUUGUAAACCUCUUUCAGCAGGGACGAAGCGCAAGUGACGGUACCUGCAGAAGAAGCACCGGCCAACUACGUGCCAGCAGCCGCCGUAA